rnacentral:misc_RNA from 1 species
AACGCACGAGACCUGCGGACCUGCGGAAGGAUCAUUAUUGAAUAAAAACUUUGGUUGGGCUGUUGCUGGUUUUCCUGACAAAAGGGGAAAUGUUGUGCACGCUCAAUUACAAAUUUUAUUUCCACCUGUGCACUUUAUGUAGACUUUCAUUAGAACUAUACACUCAUAAUCUUUUUGAGUUAUUAAACUUGAAGAGUUGGAAAUGUUACCAGUAAUUUUUCCUGUGAUUGUUGUUCAUUG